rnacentral:rRNA from 1 species
CGAACGUUUUCUUUCGGAAUGCAUUGCCUUCUUUCAAGAAUCAAAAUGACUCUCGGCAACGGAUAUCUCGGCUCUCGCAUCGAUGAAGAACGCAGCAAAAUGCGAUACUUGGUGUGAAUUGCAGAAUCCCGUGAAUCAUCGAGUUUUUGAACGCAAGUUGCGCCCGAAGCCUUUCGGCCAAGGGCACGCCUGCCUGGGUGUCACGCAUACGUCGCCCCAUCCUCUCGACACCUCGGGAGUCAUGGGAGCAGAAGUUGGCCUCCUGUGUGCCUUGCGCAUGUGGUUGGCCCAAAAUGCAUGUUCGCGGCAAAUGAUAGCCAUGACGAUCGGUGGUUGUAAAGACCCUCUGAAAAAGUCGUGCGCUGUUCUUAGACGUCGGGACAUUCCUUGACCCUAGGGCGUCCUCAGGGCGCGCUCCGACCGCGACCCCAGGUCAGGCGGGACUACCCGCUGAG